UGGGGAAUAUUGGUCAAUGGGCGAAAGCCUGAACCAGCAACGCCGCGUGUGCGAUGAAGGCCUUCGGGUUGUAAAGCACUUUUCGAGAGGAUGAGGAAGGACAGUACUCUCGGAAUAAGUCACGGCUAACUACGUGCCAGCAGCCGCGGUAAAACGUAGGUGGCUAACGUUAUCCGGAUUUACUGGGCGUAAAGCGCGCGCAGGCGGCUUCGCAAGUCGGGCAUGAAACCUCCUCGCUUAACGGGGAGAAGCUGUUCGAUACUGCGAGGCUUGAGGUCGGUAGAGGGUGGUGGAAUUCCGCAUGUAGUGGUGAAAUGCGUAGAGAUGCGGAGGAACACCAGUGGCGAAGGCGGCCACCUGGACCGAUCCUGACGCUAAAGCGCGAAAGCUAGGGUAGCAAACGGG
rnacentral:rRNA from 1 species